UAGGGAAUCUUCGGCAAUGGGGGCAACCCUGACCGAGCAACGCCGCGUGAGUGAAGAAGGUCUUCGGAUCGUAAAGCUCUGUUGUAAGUCAAGAACGGGUGUGAGAGUGGAAAGUUCACACUGUGACGGUAGCUUACCAGAAAGGGACGGCUAACUACGUGCCAGCAGCCGCGGUAAUACGUAGGUCCCGAGCGUUGUCCGGAUUUAUUGGGCGUAAAGCGAGCGCAGGCGGUUUGAUAAGUCUGAAGUUAAAGGCUGUGGCUCAACCAUAGUUCGCUUUGGAAACUGUCAAACUUGAGUGCAGAAGGGGAGAGUGGAAUUCCAUGUGUAGCGGUGAAAUGCGUAGAUAUAUGGAGGAACACCGGUGGCGAAAGCGGCUCUCUGGUCUGUAACUGACGCUGAGGCUCGAAAGCGUGGGGAGCGAACAGGAUUAGAU
rnacentral:rRNA from 1 species